GAUGAACGCUGGCGGCGUGCCUAAUACAUGCAAGUCGAGCGAACAGACGAGGAGCUUGCUCCUUUGACGUUAGCGGCGGACGGGUGAGUAACACGUGGGUAACCUACCUAUAAGACUGGGACAACUUCGGGAAACCGGAGCUAAUACCGGAUAAUAUUUCGAACCGCAUGGUUCGACAGUGAAAGAUGGAUCUGCUAUCACUUAUAGAUGGACCUGCGCCGUAUUAGCUAGUUGGUAAGGUAACGGCUUACCAAGGCAACGAUACGUAGCCGACCUGAGAGGGUGAUCGGCCACACUGGAACUGAGACACGGUCCAGACUCCUACGGGAGGCAGCAGUAGGGAAUCUUCCGCAAUGGGCGAAAGCCUGACGGAGCAACGCCGCGUGAGUGAUGAAGGUCUUCGGAUCGUAAAACUCUGUUAUUAGGGAAGAACAAACGUGUAAGUAACUGUGCACGUCUUGACGGUACCUAAUCAGAAAGCCACGGCUAACUACGUGCCAGCAGCCGCCGUAAGAC
rnacentral:rRNA from 1 species